rnacentral:lncRNA from 1 species
AUGUGGGAUAUUUCAUCAUUUAUACAGUAUUGUGCCUAUUUUCACUAUUUUCACUGUGUUCCUAGAUGGAAGAAUUCUCUUGGGGAGCAAAAAAAAAAGAGAGUAGAAAAAACCCCUGUUCCAACAAUGCUUUUCAUUCCUCCUCUCCAUGUCCAUAGCCAGAAGAUUUCAUUAUUGCUGCCUAAAAGCUUACUUUUUUAUUCUGGUUUCAGGGUAAGUUUCCUUGGUGAAAGAGAUAAUUGGAUUAAACCUAAAUUAGGUGCUACAGGAGAAAUCCAUGAAGAUAGAGCCAUCUCUAAAAGGAGAUCUCAGCAGCACAACAUGGUCCCGUUCAAGAAAGACUGUCAUACAAAAAGACCGCUUUUUUGAUCAAUUUUAUUUUAUACAGAUGUCUGUCAUGUGUAGGUUAUGGUAUUUCUGUAACAGACAUAAGUCCCCCAAAUCCUAAGGACUGCUUUUGAUCUAGUCAGAAAACAUUGCAUGUCAGUCAGUAUGAAUAACUACAACACAUUUGUUAGAAAAUAUUUGUAUCCUUUUUUUCCCAGGAAUUAUUUUCUAUCAGGAAGAACAGUAUUAAAAGGAGAAGUAUAUGACUUGCAUAUGGUUGUAUAGCUUGGAGGUCAUACAGAGCUGGAUUCUGCCCUCAUUGGGCACAUCUACGUGCAAUUAAUGUGCACAAAUAAGCUCCGGAUUUUAUUCCUCUGGAAUUUUUUGCUUUUGCCCAGGAGCAAAAAACUCUGGAGUAUAGUGCUCCAGAGUUUAUUUGUGUGCAGUAUAUUAAGUCUGGUCCUAGCAGCCUGGGCUGGCAGGGGGCCUGGCGGGGGGAUGGGGUACAGCCUGCCAGCUGAGAGCUGCUCUGAUGCUGCUCUAUUUGUUGAAGAAGGGCUGACUGAGGCAAGAGGGUGCUUCAGUAUGGGGGCUGUGUGAUAGCUAGCUCCACGAUGAAGCACCCUGUGCCCCAGCCAGCCAGGGAAGCAUCUACAUGUGUGCUGCUGCAUGUGAAAAAACUCUGCAGCAGGUUAGAACUUGUAUUUACAAGUCCUUACCUGCUGUGUAGCUAAUUAGUUUCAUGGGCCCUAAUAAGGGCACAUGUGUAGGUGCUGAGAUGUUUACUACCCAGUUAAUUAGUCAACUGUGCAGUAAACAUUUCAUGUAGACGUACCCAUUUAUGGCAGAAUGCCACCAGUGUGACUCCCUUAAUUUCCAUGGAAUUACUUACACCGCUGUGAGUGCAGAAUCAUGCUCUCACCGUACAUGGCAUGCAAGAAUCUAACAGUGUUUAUAGGCAUCUUGUCCAUAUGUGUUUGCAUUCUCUAGAAAUUAACUGCAGUACACAAUUGGAAAUAAUCAUGUCAGCAAACUGUUAGCAUUUUAUGGCAUAUUUUAAAACUUUAUGUGCUGAUUUAUUUUAUACUGCUUGCAUAUAGUAUGUUUAUAUUGUUGAGGUAGAAACUGACAUUCACCAUUAUGGCUGUCUGCAAUGCUCUGCUUUGAAACAAGGCAUAUGACUGAGUUUGAGAUUUUUCCCGUAUAAAGAAAUGUUAAUAAACAAAUAAACCACUUCA